rnacentral:rRNA from 1 species
AACGAACGCUGGCGGCAGGCCUAACACAUGCAAGUCGAACGCUCGUAGCAAUACGGGAGUGGCAGACGGGUGAGUAACACGUGGGAACCUUCCCUAUGGUUCGGAAUAGCUCAGGGAAACUUGGGGGUAAUACCGGAUAAGCCCUUCGGGGGAAAGAUUUAUCGCCAUUGGAUGGGCCCGCGUCGGAUUAGCUAGUUGGUGAGGUAACGGCUCACCAAGGCGACGAUCGGUAGCUGGUCUGAGAGGACGACCAGCCACACUGGGACUGAGACACGGCCCAGACUCCUACGGGGAGGCAGCAGUGGGGAAUAUUGGACAAUGGGCGCAAGGCCUGAUCCAGCGAUCGCCGCGUGUAGAAGAAGGCCUGCGGGUUGUAAAGCUACUUUCAGUAAGGGAACGAAAACCGAGNGCUAAUAUCACUCGGUCUUGUACGUUACUUACAGAAGAAGCACCGGCUAACCU